UACAGAGGUCCCAAGCGUUGUUCGGAUUCACUGGGCGUAAAGGGUGCGUAGGUGGGUAGGUAAGUCAGUGGUGAAAUCUCCAAGCUUAACUUGGAACUGCCGUUGAUACUAUUUAUCUUGAAUAUAGUGGAGGUGAGCGGAAUAUGUCAUGUAGCGGUGAAAUGCUUAGAUAUGACAUAGAACACCAAUUGCGAAGGCAGCUUGCUACACUACUAUUGACACUGAGGCACGAAAGCGUGGGGAUCAAACAGGG
rnacentral:rRNA from 1 species